UAUGGCCAUAUCAAGUUGAAACAUCAGUUCCCGUACGAUCACUGAAGUUAAGCAACGAACGCUGAGUCAGGCCAAUGACUAGAUGGGUGACUGCUUGGGAAUACCAGGUGCUGUAA